GUUUAGGACCAAUUGACUCUUGUGAGACUGUCUGGUUUAGGACCAUAGGUCUCUGAUGUAUCUGAGACUGUCCAGUUCAGGACCAGUGGACUCUGAUGUUUCUGAGAUUAUCCGGCUCAGGACCA